AGUUAGCAGGUGUAUCUGCUAGGUGUUAGCUUACCCGGUUGUUUGAUCUGAUUUCUAGGCUUGGUGAUUGCAAGAAGUUAGUAAAAGAAUUCAGGUUUGAGGGGAUUGAUUCACUUCCCUACUCUUUCGCAAAUAAACAGAAUGUUUGCUGUCCGGAUGAUGUACUGUGGAGGGUUGAUGCAUUUGUUGCAUACCCUUGUUCUGUUUUAUUCAAAAAAGUUGAAGUUUAGCAAGGAAGAAAGUGGCAUGCAUUCUGGGCUUCCAUGUGGAAUUAGAAAAAGUAGGUAACCGAGUGUCAAUAUGGGUUGGCAUUUGGCAAUGUCAGCUAACGAGGAGAGUUCAUUCAAGCUUGCAUUGUGGUGUAUGUAUGUUAUGUCAACUUUUAAUAUCACUAGGUGCUAGGCUUGACUAUGCAUCAGUUGUUACUGGACUGCACUGCACAAUCCUUCGAUAGGGUCAUAUCAAUAGUAUGAUUAUGUACUGAGAAAGGCUACUUUGAUGCAGUGAUUAAGAUUAAAACUGACCUCAAUGGCAAUACAAAAGUACCCAGUAUUACUUGCACAUUAUUCUUGCAGCUAUACAGUUUCCUUUAUUUGUAUCUCGAAAUAGAUAUUCUGUUGCAUAUAUAAUUUUUUGUAGCAUUGUGGUAAUUACAUAUAUGUCAUAAUGCGGCCCAACUUGUUUAAAUUUCAUAAUUUAAGUAUAGGUGUUGUACCAUGACAGUAUACACCUCAGUGUCCUUAGUAUGAACCAUGGUAUCUUGAAGAAAGUUGUAUCUUUCCGCAUAUUAAAUGUUUUGCAUCUGACAGAAUGAGGCCUAUGAUCCGUGCCAAUAUUGUUCCUGUACCUUGGAUCAGCCUGAUUCUGUAAUUGGAAAAAGCAAGGUGGUUGUUAUUUCACAUCUUAUAUUGUGCAGUUUUAGCAGGAAUAAGUUGUGCACUUCAGUAUAUAUCAUGGUUCUCAGAUUUGAUUAUUUCCUUUAAGUUUAUUUGUACCACUUUUCCACUCCUAGUUACGAUCAGCAUUAGAAUGAUGCUACCAUUGCUCUUUAAAUUGGGAGGUAGAUGCCACUGAGAACACAAUCUCAUUGAAUGUUGCUUUUGGGGGAAGCAACUAGAUCCCUUGCUCGAUCAUAUAGAGUUCCUAUGGAGAAGGUGGAGGUCAAAGGACUACAAUUCGUCUUGGCUAAGGGGUUCCUUGAAGCUCGAGGCUCCUCAAUUUGAUUCUUCACCCUAGGAUGCUUAGAUAAUAUUAUUUUUUAUUGUAUUUGGAUGUCCACAGUUGUAUGUACUAUUAAUAUGAUGUGUUUGGAAAUAAGAAUUACAUAUAAAGAUUGGCAGUUCUCAUUA